rnacentral:rRNA from 1 species
ACGCUGGCGGCGUGCUUAACACAUGCAAGUCGAACGAUGAAACCUAGCUUGCUAGGUGGAUUAGUGGCGCACGGGUGAGUAAUAUAUAGGUAAUGUGCCUCUUAGUCUGGGAUAGCCAUUGGAAACGAUGAUUAAUACUGGAUACUCCUUCUAACUCUAAUGUUAGUCGGGAAAGUUUUUCGCUAAGAGAUCAGCCUAUAUCCCAUCAGUUAGUUGGUAAGGUAACGGCUUACCAAGGCAAUGACGGGUAGCGGGUUUGAGAGGAUGAUCCGCCACACUGGUACUGAGACACGGACCAGACUCCUACGGGAGGCAGCAGUGAGGAAUAUUGCACAAUGGGGGAAACCCUGAUGCAGCAACGCCGCGUGGAGGAUGACGCAUUUCGGUGUGUAAACUCCUUUUAUAUGUCAAGAAAAUGACGGUAGCAUAUGAAUAAGCACCGGCUAACUCCGUGCCAGCAGCCGCGGUAAUACGGAGGGUGCAAGCGUUACUCGGAAUCACUGGGCGUAAAGGACGCGUAGGCGGAUUGGAAAGUCAGAUGUGAAAUCCUACAGCUUAACUGUAGAACUGCAUUUGAAACUUCUAAUCUAGAGUAUGGGAGGGGGAGAUGGAAUUAGUGGUGUAGGGGUAAAAUCCGUAGAUAUCACUAGGAAUACCGAAAGCGAAGGCGAUCUCCUGGAACAUUACUGACGCUAAGGCGUGAAAGCGUGGGGAGCAAACAGGAUUAGAUACCCUGGUAGUCCACGCCCUAAACGAUGAACACUAGUCGUCGGGAUGCUUGUCAUCUCGGUGAUGCACUUAACAGAUUAAGUGUUCCGCCUGGGGAGUACGGU